rnacentral:rRNA from 1 species
GCGUUAAGUAGACCGCCUGGGGAGUACGGUCGCAAGAUUAAAACUCAAAUGAAUUGACGGGGGCCCGCACAAGCGGUGGAGCAUGUGGUUUAAUUCGAUGCAACGCGAAGAACCUUACCUACUCUUGACAUCCAGAGAAGCCAGCAGAGAUGCAGGUGUGCCUUCGGGAACUCUGAGACAGGUGCUGCAUGGCUGUCGUCAGCUCGUGUUGUGAAAUGUUG